rnacentral:rRNA from 1 species
ACACGUGAUUCAGAGUUUGAUCCUGGCUCAGGACGAACGCUGGCGGCGUGCUUAACACAUGCAAGUCGAGCGGUAAGGCUCCUUCGGGGGUACACGAGCGGCGAACGGGUGAGUAACACGUGAGUAAUCUGCCCUUCACUUCGGGAUAAGCCUCAGAAAUGGGGUCUAAUACCGGAUAUGACAUCUCCAGGCAUCUGGUGGGUGUGGAAAGGUUUUUUCCGGUGGGGGAUGUGCUCGCGGCCUAUCAGCUUGAUGGUGGGGUAAUGGCCUACCAUGGCUUCGACGGGUAGCCGGCCUGAGAGGGUGACCGGUCACACUGGGACUGAGACACGGCCCAG